CUGAGAUGGGAGUUAAGGUAAUACAGGUAGUAUUACAUGGUGGAUCCAAAUUAAGAUUUUAAACAGUUAAAAAACUGUUUGAUUAACUCCUUAUGAUAGGGGGGCAUGGCACUCCUUUCAGAAUACACACUAUGGUUAUAUGUAAUGGUUAUGGUGCUUGUAAUGUUUUUUUUUUUUUUUAAUGAUACAGUAUUUGCUAGAUCAUCAUACUCAUAACUAUGCAAGCAGGAACUAGUCUACGUUUGUGCUGAUGGUUGCCUAUCUUUGCCUAGUGCACUAAGGUUGAAUGUUUUGACCUUAUGUGCGGAAUUGUUCCUCUCUCUUCCCUUUAAAGCAGCACUGUCAUAACGUUCUUAUCUUUUCCCAAUCGCUUUCUCUUCCUCUCUCAGCAGCUAUUCUUUUUUUUAAAUUUAAAGUAAAGUAAAGGCAGACAUGC